CACAUACACAGAAACACACAAUGCAUCCCUUACACACACACACACACACACACACACACACAAACACACACUGCUUCUCUUACACACACACAGAAACACAAUGCAUCUCUUACACACACACUCAAUGCACCCCUUACAGACACAUAAACUGCAUCCCUUACAUACACAGAAACACACCUUGCAUCCCUUACACAUACAAACACAGAUUCACACAAUGCAUCCCUUAAACACAACCACAAACACACAAUACAUCCCUUACACACAAUCACACACUACUUCCUAUCCCUUAUACAAAAACACACUGCAUCCACUACACACCCACACACACUGCAUCACCUAGAGAAACUGGUAUCCCUAUACACUACAUUCCAUAAGCACACACUUUAGAUUCUCUACACUAACACAUAACACAUUCACUACACACUCCACUCCCUAUGAGCGAACUCAUGGAUGGAACAUGUAGUUGGACUUAUU